rnacentral:rRNA from 1 species
GACGAACGCUGGCGGCGUGCCUAAUACAUGCAAGUAGAACGCACAGUUUAUACCGUAGCUUGCUACACCAUAGACUGUGAGUUGCGAACGGGUGAGUAACGCGUAGGUAACCUGCCUGGUAGCGGGGGAUAACUAUUGGAAACGAUAGCUAAUACCGCAUAAUAUUGAUUAUUGCAUGAUAAUUGAUUGAAAGAUGCUAUUGCAUCACUACCAGAUGGACCUGCGUUGUAUUAGCUAGUAGGUGAGGUAACGGCUCACCUAGGCGACGAUACAUAGCCGACCUGAGAGGGUGAUCGGCCACACUGGGACUGAGACACGGCCCAGACUCCUACGGGAGGCAGCAGUAGGGAAUCUUCGGCAAUGGACGAAAGUCUGACCAAGCAACGCCGCGUGAGUGAAGAAGGUUUUCGGAUCGUAAAGCUCUGUUGUAAGAGAAGAACGGGUGUGAGAGUGGAAAGUUCACACUGUGACGGUAUCUUACCAGAAAGAGACGGCUAACUACGUG